CGUCUUGGAAUUCAGCUGCAACUUUUGCCUCCUUAGAUUUUGCCCCUCUCUCUCUCUCUCUCUCUUCUCUCUCUUCCCUGCACCCGUUCCUCUCUCUCUCUCUACAUUCUUAGACCAAGCAUCUCUUUCUCUCUCUAACUUCAAGAUUACCUGGCAGACGCAGGCUCUUUCUCGCUCCAACUCCUGAGAUUACCUGGCAGCCCGAGCUUCUCUCUCUUAACCUUCUCCCCGCUCUCUCUCUCUCUAGAUAUACCUCAAAUUCCCAAUUUCCGAGAGUAUUUUUCUCUCCUCUCUCUCUCUCUCUCUCUCCGGACAUGGCGGACUGGAGAGCAUCACAGGGCAUCGGUACUCAUGAAGCCUCCAAGAAAAGCACCAGGCCAACCCACAGGAAACCUCCUCCAGGAUUUUGGAAACCCACUGUGCCUUCGUGGGAGAAGGAGUUCUGCACCUCAGUGUGCUGCAUACCCUGGCCAAAGCUCUGCGAAACAAAGAAAGUGAUGGGAAUGUAUGCAAAUAUUGUUCAAUGGAAUGACUCUGCCGGUGAAGAAGCAUUUCACAAUGCAAAACAGAGGUUUUGGGCCAUGAUUAAUGGUAUUCGCUGUGAUAUUGCUCUUCCUGAUCCCGACAUUUACAUCGACAAAGUUGAUUGGAACUCAAAAGUUGUUGAUCCCGAAGAUCUGUUUGACCCACCUGAUAUAGAUACAACACUAGAAGAUAACGAACAGUUUGGCCUGGGUUUCGAGAAUACAAGGGUGAUAAAUGAUGAAGAAACUGAUAAACAGGUGCAUUCAAAUUUUGGUUGGGGGCCUGAGUUUUGUUCAAAUAGGAUUGGCAAUGAAUUGAAUGAUUUGGUGCCUUGCUCUGGCUGGGGGGAUUGUGAUGAACCUUCAGAAACUGUGAAGAAUGAUUAUUCGCCCUCAAGUGGUUGGGAAAUAACUGAAGAUAAUUCAUGGGACCGUAGAGGAUGGGAGACCGACUUUCAAGUAUCUCAUUUUCCUGAUAAAAUAAAAGAUGGGAAUACGUGGCAAGCCAGAAACAUGAAUUGGAGGAAGAGAGAGCAGCUCAAUCGAAACGGGUCGAGAUAUAAGACCACAAGGUAUCAUCAAGCAGUUGCAGAUGAGGCUCAUGAGGAUAAUGGUGUUAAUGGUGAUUGGUUGGAUUGGAAGGGAAGAAAUAGAGUUGACUUUACUCACCAAUGGCCUGGUUAUCCUAUCACCAAGGAAACUUUCGUGCCCCGACAAUGGAAUACUAUCCAGUCAUGUGCUUACCGAUAAAUAGUAAGCACCCAUGUCCUAUUGGAAUUAUUUCAAGAAAGAGAAAUGGCUUCCGCGACCUCUUUUUGUAUGGAUAAUAUUAUAGAACAUGAUGGUUGGAUUUUAUAAGUGCCCCAACAACAAUACACACUGGGGAUCUUCUCAUCCCUUAAAUGGGUAGCAUUAUGCAUCGUGAUGGUUGGUUUUUAUAAGUGUCCCAGCAACAGUACACAAUGGGAUCUUCUCUUCAUGUAUUGUGAUUUUUGGUACUUAAUGCAACUUUAAGGUUGUGGAUUCGUAUUCUGCUCAUCUAGUAAAAAAGAAAAUACAAAAAAGGAAGAAAGGUAAAUGACAAUGCUGUUAAAGAGUGGACCAGAGCUCGAACAGCUGGGAUACCGAUUCGGUCAGACUAGUCAAACCAGACCAAUCAGCUGUCAAACCGGUCAAAAAACUGAAAAAGAAUCAGAAUCUGAAGAUAUAUAUGACAAUUGUUUACGUAGCUCAUGUGAAAAUGAUAGCAUAAGCCACAACAUGCUUUCAUUCAGAUUUUUCAUGUGCUUUAAACAAAAUAUGUUUCUGAGCACCACGAUAAAGAGUUAUGUUAAUAACUUUUCUGUCAUUUGAUUGUAUAUCCAACCGCUUGAUUUCUGUUAUAUUAUAUUGAAAAUUUGAGCUGCAUUUAGCAUGUAACUUAAACUGAGUCUCGUUCAUGUAAAUUCCUUGCUUGGUUUUAUCAAUAGUUGUGCCAGGUCGACUGAGCUACUAUCAUUUUUGCAAUGUUAGUCUUUAAAUAUCCAUGUCAAUUGUCUUUAGCUGCCAUAUGUGGACUAUUGUAUUGCAUGAUUUGACAGUUAAAACUGCUUAUCUGUGUAUGUUCAAAACUUAAUAAAAUGGAACUUUUUGAUGAGUCAUGGACUUGUUAAGGGCAAUGUUACUGUUAGGGCAGUGCAUGAUACGCUUAUGGUGGACGUUCAUGGGAACGAUAAAUGGUGGACGUUCAUGUGACAGAAAAAUUCCCCCAUCCGAACACGAGGCUAAGGCAUCAUCGUCGUCAAUAUCAUUGCUGUCCACAUACACUCACUUCUUCCUCCUCCAUGUCAUGUGAGUCAGCCUCCUUGAUCUCUGGAGCCUAUGUCGAUCUGGACCCAACUGUCUUCUUUUUUUAGUCUACUUCUAGGUGACAUCCAACCACGUGAGUUCCUCACUCUCAAACAACCGCUCAGCUCGUAGAUCUACUGUCCACUCUGUGCCCACGGGUUCAUCCAUUACAGUUGGGUCCACAUGCAUGUGCUUCAAGAACCUCUCCCUAAGGCACUCACAAUAUCGUACAUAGACGAGAUCAUUCAACUUUUGCUGCUCUAGCCUAUUCCUUUUUUUGAUAUUGAACUAUGGUAACAAGCAAAGAUACAAUCAUACAAGCAAAGGAGAGAAGAUUUUACUUAACUUAAGCAAUGGCCAACGGAUAUCUGUUUUUCUACAAUCUAGAUUCUAGAAAAUUGAAAACUAAGCAAAUAAAGACUUGUAUGCUCAAAUGCGCUCCAGUUGCGCUCACGACCAGAUAAGUUGCCUGCGAGGCUCGACACUUGAAUAGCGAGACGUUGGAGAUUUUGUGUUUUGCUCCCAUAUAUGAUACCCAUCACUCAGCUGCGUAUUAUUUUAGAUAUUUAAGUUUCAUACAACAAUACAAGUAUAACAAAGUAAAGAACACACAACGAAGUUAAGAACUUUUUAGUCAAAGUCAAACUUUGAUCAUCUGACUAUGUGGUAUACCUGUUACUAAUCAUGAUAUCAUGUCCAAAGUUCCUAAGUGCACCCUUGAAAUUUAUCAAUUCAUUACUUUGAAUCCAAUCUGUACAGAAAGGAUCAGGGACCAAUCUCUUGAGUAAAUCUAAGAACCUUCCAUUUAUUGUACGAUCCAAUUCAUUAGAAGGGUUCUUAUAAUGAAGAGAUGGAUUUAGAAAUGCCCUAUUGCAUGGUGGGGCACCGGUGAAGCUGGGUUCCUAUCAAUAAGUCUAAAUUCUGGGAUAGUAUUUGGUCUCAUCAUUCUUCAAAGUCAUUUUUAUCUCUUCGUUCAUAGUAAUCAUACCCUCAUGUAUGUAGCCCAUGGCACGCCGUGCAUUUCCUUCCACCAAUUGAUGCACUUUCACUAAAGGGCGAGACAUUUUCGAUGAAUAGUAGUAGAAUUGGAUCUAGAGGGAUGUGCUAAGAACAAUUUUCUCUAUUAUUUCCGAUCUUGAUGCCUUGACCUCUUGUUUUUUGGGCACUUCUCUGAAGUGAACAUGCUCCUUAGGGCAUUUUAUUUCUUACAUAGGUUUUGAAGAGUGAGAAUUGGCAUGUCAAAUCUAGUGACUCCUGCUCUCACUAUCUGCCUCUCUUUUUAGUAAACUCUCUCAUCAUGGGUAGGUAAUUGACUAUAGAUGAAAUCAAUGAGAAACUUAGCUUUUGUGUUUGCAUGUUUGACCUUAGAUGUCUUUGCUAUGUCCUCAAGCAUGAAAUCAAGACAGCGAGUAGUGCAGGGACCCCAAAACAUAUGCCUCCUCUCCAAAGUCAAGAUAUCCCCCAACUGCAGAGUGAUUAGCACCAUUGUUAGUGAUAAUUGGUACCACAUUGUUUUCCCCAAAAAGUUCAUCACAUGACUUGUCCAAUGCAUCAAUAGAUUUUA